rnacentral:tRNA from 1 species
GCCGAGUGGUUAAGGCGAAAGACUUGAAAUCUUUUAGGAUUUCCUGCGCAGGUUCGAAUCCUGCAAUGUG